UUUGAAAUCUGGCGUCCUCAGGGCGUCCGAGUUGUAAUCUAUAGAGGCGUUUUCCGUGCCGGACCGUGUCCAAGUUCCUUGGAACAGGAUAUCAAAGAGGGUGACAAUCCCGUACUUGACACGACGACCGGUGCUCUGUGAUACGUCUUCUACGAGUCGAGUUGUUUGGGAAUGCAGCUCAAAAUGGGUGGUGAGUUCCAUCUAAAGCUAAAUAUUGGCGAGAGACCGAUAGCGAACAAGUACCGUGAGGGAAAGAUGAAAAGCACUUUGGAAAGAGAGUUAAACAGUACGUGAAAUUGUUGAAAGGGAAACGAUUGAAGUCAGUCGUGACCGAGAGGCUCAGCCGGCUCUGCCGGUGUAUUCCCCUCGGUCGGGUCAACAUCAGUUUUGUCCGGUGGAUAAGGGCGGUAGGAAGGUGGCACCCUCGGGUGUGUUAUAGCCUGCCGUCGCAUACAUCGGGUGAGACUGAGGAACGCAGCUCGCCUUUAUGGCCGGGGUUCGCCCACGUCCGAGCUUAGGAUGUUGACAUAAUGGCUUUAAACGACCCGUCUUGAAACACGGACCAA
rnacentral:rRNA from 1 species